rnacentral:lncRNA from 10 species
AAACCGAAACUUCAAGAAUGAUUCUGCCCAGCCAGGUCUGAGCUCAGGCAAUCCACCUGCCUCGGCCUCCCAGAGUGCUGGGAUUACAGAUGUGAGCCACCGUGCCUGGCCCUUGAUUUCUUUUUCUUUUUUUCCACAUAGACUUCUGUGUGCUACAGAGAACCCAGCUUGAUUUAUUACCAUCCCAGUGGAGGAGGCCCCUUCAUUAGCCUCAUCUUACAGAUGAAAAAAAAAAUGAAGGCUCAACUUUUCUAAGAACAUCUUAGCUACUGUGUUUUAGAGUCAGGAUUCGAAAUCUGGUCUGUUUGACCCUAGAGCCCAAGCUCUUAACUAAUGGCAAAUGUAACCAUUUUUAUUCCACAACAGAAAGCCAAACGUAACAGAUAUGUGAGAAAUGCAGUCUGAGACUCAAGAGGAAAAGGCAUCGUCAAAUAAGCUGCCUGAACAAGUGAAACAGACCCUACAGAAUGGCGAACUAACAUUUCUUUUUGUUUUGUUUUGUUUUGUUUUGAGACAGAGUCUCACUCUGUUGCCCAUUCUGGAGUGCAGUGGCACAAUCUUGGCUCACUGCAACCUCCACCUCCCAGGUUCAGGCAGUUCUCCUGCCUCAGCCACCCAAGUAGCUGGGAUUACAGGAGCCUGCCACCAUGCCUGGCUAAUUUUUGUAUUUUUAGUAGAGAUGGAGUUUCACCAUGU